ACUCCAUCCUGAGAAGUUGUGCCAGAGAGCUUGAAUGAGUCUGCCCUUCUCACAACCUUUGAAAACUUCACUAGAGAACUGAGAAGAAAAUACAAGACUCAAUAAGCUAGAAAAGUUUCAGAAUUUUGUUCUUCAAGGGUUGAGCAAUCUUGAGAAGGAUAUUCAGCCCCUGGAACACCUUGAAAAGGACGCUCUGGAGUUCGAGGGGAAACAGUCUGCUGAUCUGAAAUUGUUCUGUGAUCUGCAAGUGCUGAGGUGUUCCUCUGCACCCUGAUCGUCUGUCCUCUGAGGACCCGUUUCGUCUUCAGGCGGUAGGUGAACUCUGGCUUCUGCACCUGCACAGCCGCGCAGACCGUGUGAGCCACCCUCCCUCUGUGCAUCCCUCCAGCCCCUGGCUGCUUCCCAUGACAAGGAGA